CGGGAAUGGCUUUAGGUUCCAGCGCCGCAAGGCGUGGGGGUUCGAGUCCCCCCUCCCGCACCA
rnacentral:tRNA from 1 species